rnacentral:tRNA from 2 species
GCCACCUUAGCUCAGUCGGUAGAGCAGCGGUUUCGUAAACCGCAGGUCGUCCGUUCAAGUCGGAUAGGUGGCUCCA